rnacentral:tRNA from 1 species
GCCAGAGUAGCUCAGUGGCAGAGCAGCUGAUUCGUAAUCAGCAGGUCGCGAGUUCGACCCUCGCCUCUGGCUCCA